UACAGAGGAGCCAAGCGUUGUCCGGAUUGACUGGGCGUAAAGCGCACGCAGGCGGGUGUGCGCGUGGGGGGUGAAAUCUGGCCGCUUAACGGCCAGGCGCCAUCCCAUACGGCACGCCUGGAGUGAUGCAGAGGUCGAUGGAAUUGCCGGUGUAGUGGUGAAAUGCGUAGAUAUCUGGAAGAACACCAGUGGCGAAGGCGCUCUACUGGGCCGUAACUGACACUGAGGGACGAAAGCUAGGGGAGCGAAAGGG
rnacentral:rRNA from 1 species